GAUGAACGCUAGCGACAGGCUUAACACAUGCAAGUCGAGGGGCAGCAUAAAAGUAGCAAUACUUUGGUGGCGACCGGCGCACGGGUGAGUAACGCGUAUGCAACCUACCUAUCAGAGGGGAAUAACCCGGCGAAAGUCGGACUAAUACCGCAUAAAACAGGGGCACCGCAUGGUGAUAUUUGUUAAAGAAAUUCGCUGAUAGAUGGGCAUGCGUUCCAUUAGGUAGUUGGUGAGGUAACGGCUCACCAAGCCGACGAUGGAUAGGGGAACUGAGAGGUUGGUCCCCCACACUGGUACUGAGAUACGGACCAGACUCCUACGGGAGGCAGCAGUGAGGAAUAUUGGUCAAUGGGCGAGAGCCUGAACCAGCCAAGUCGCGUGAAGGAAGAAGGAUCUAUGGUUCGCAAACUUCUUUUGCAGGGGAAUAAAGUGCGGGACGUGUCCUGUUUUGUAUGUACCCUGAGAAUAAGGAUCGGCUAACUCCGUGCCAGCCGCCGCCGUAA
rnacentral:rRNA from 1 species